CGUUAGCGGCGGACGGGUGAGUAACACGUGGGUAACCUACCUAUAAGACUGGGACAACUUCGGGAAACCGGAGCUAAUACCGGAUAAGAUAUCGAACCGCAUGGUUCGAUAGUGAAAGAUGGUUUUGCUACCACUUAUAGAUGGACCCGCGCCGUAUUAGCUAGUUGGUGAGGUAACGGCUCACCAAGGCAACGAUACGUAGCCGACCUGAGAGGGUGAUCGGCCACACUGGAACUGAGACACGGUCCAGACUCCUACGGGAGGCAGCAGAC
rnacentral:rRNA from 1 species